UACGUAGGGUGCGAGCGUUGUCCGGAAUUAUUGGGCGUAAAGAGCUCGUAGGCGGUCUGUCGCGUCGGAUGUGAAAACACGGGGCUCAACCCCGUGCCUGCAUUCGAUACGGGCAGACUAGAGUUCGGUAGGGGAGACUGGAAUUCCUGGUGUAGCGGUGAAAUGCGCAGAUAUCAGGAAGAACACCAACGGCGAAGGCAGCUCGCUGGGACGGAACUGGCGCUAAGGCGCGAAAGCGUGGGGAGCGAACAGG
rnacentral:rRNA from 1 species